rnacentral:rRNA from 1 species
ACGGAAAAGUAACGAGGUGGAUAACGUUCUCGAGAACGACUGCGAUAACUUCGGGGAAUCGGGGGGGUAAUCCUUUGAGAAAAUAUGGAUCCCUCCUGGUUCAAUAAUGAAAGGCUUUUUUGUUAUCAUGAGGGGACCGAUGCUCACCGCGGACUCACUCGAUAUGGUAUCGUCGUUCCAAGGACGCUAUACCUAGCCGACCUGAGAGAGGGAUCCUCACACGCUGGAUCUGUCACACUGUCCCGAGUCUUGCGCGAGACUUCUCUAGGGGAGGUCAUUCUGCGAUGUGUGUGAGUCUGUGGUCCAAACCUCGAGCGAGCAUUGAGGUUGCUAGGAUAUUGUAACUUUGUGUCCAGGGGAUAUCAAAAGUUUGAUAAACUUACCACAUCUUGACUGUGCGAGAUCAGAAUACCAAGAAGCACUGGCUGACUGCGCCCCCGCUAUUACGUUGAUGGCCAAGGCGUUAUCAUGUAUUAUUGGGUGUAUAGCGCUUAAUAGGGUGGUUUUUUCAGUUUCAUAUGUCAGUGCACGGAUCUCGCCGUGUGAGGGUCAUUGUCAUCCGUGAAAUCUUGAGUGUAGAACAGGAAAGUGGAGUUGCAUGUGUAGCGGUGAAAUGCGCAGAGAUAUGGAGGAACACCAAUGGCGAAGGCGACUUUCUGGGCUGUAACUGACGCUGAUGUGACGAAAGCGUGGGGAUCAAACAGGAUUAGAUACCCUGGUAGUCCACGCCGUAAACGAUGACUGCUGCGUGUUAGGGCGUUUCCGCCCUUUAGUUCAGCAGCUAACGCAUUAAGCACUCCUCCUCGGGAGUGGGACCCCAAGGCUGAAACUCAAAUGAAUUGACGGGUUCCUGCCCAACCGAUGGGGCAGAUGGUUUAAUUGGAAGCAACGCGACGAGCCUAACCAAAUCUUCACAUCCUUGGGCCGCUCUAGAGAUAGAGUUAUCUCCUUCGGGGGACAAAGCGCCAGGUGGCAGCAUGGUUGUCGUCAGCUCGUGUCGUGAGAUGGUGGGUUAAGUCACGCAACGAGCGCAACCCCUCACUUUAGUUGCCAUCAUUCAGUUGGGCACUGUAAGGAGACUGCCGGUGACAAACCGGAGGAAGGUGGGGAUGACGUCAAAUCAUCAUGCCCUUUAUGAUUUGGGCUACACACGUCAUACAAUGGACGAUACAAAGGGCAGCUAAACCGCGAGGUCAAGCAAAUCCCAUAAAGCUGUUCCCAGUUCGGAUCGCAGUUUCCACUUUGUUUACAGGAAGAGGGAAUCGUUAGUAUUGGAGAUCCAGCAUGAUGCGGUGAAUACGUUCCCGGGUCU